GUUCUCAUAGUUGAAUACAACGGUGGGUUUUCAAGCCAUUAGUCUUGGUUAGAGUCCAGGUGAGAAUU
rnacentral:tRNA from 1 species